UNNCNGCCNNNAUCUGCUCAAGGAAAUUUAAAUAGCCGCUUUUGUGCUAAGGUAGCAUAAUAAUUUGUCUUUUAAUUAAAGACUAGAACAAAAGAUUUAACAUCUCAAUUAAUUUUUUAAAAAAAAAUAUUUAAAUUAUUUUAAUUGUAAAAAAACAAUUUUAAAAAAGAAAGACGAUAAGACCCUAUCGAACUUUACUUUAGUUUAACUGGGGUAGUUAAUUAAUUAUUAUUUUAAUAAAAUUUAAUACUUAAUUUGACCUAAUAUUAUUAAUAAAAUAAUUAAGUUACCGUAGGGAUAACAGCGUAAUAAAAUUUUUAAGAUCUCAUUUAAAAUAAAGAUUGCGACCUCGAUGUUGAUUUAAUAACCUAAUUUACGCAAUAGUUAAUUAAGGAAGUCUGUUCGACUUUAAAAAAAUUACAUGAUCUGAGCCAACCCCCGGAGA
rnacentral:rRNA from 1 species